rnacentral:misc_RNA from 1 species
CACUGUAUGAUGUUUUUUUAAAAUUUGUGUCACUGUAAUAUGCUGGUAUAUGCUGGUAUCAUGGUAUCGUGGUAUAAGCUAUAUGUUAUCAUUAUCAGCUAUCACAGAAUAUGUUAUCAGUUAUCACUUCCUUUGGAACAAUGUGAUAAUAAAAAUCAAAACAAUGGGAUAAUAAUUUUCGGAAUAAACUAAUUGGGAGAAUUAUUUAUUUGACAUUUUCUAAUUUGGACUAAUAGUUUUUGGAAGAAAAUGUAUUUUUCGGAAUGAAUAUGAUUGGAGAGAAAAAUUAUUGGAGAGAAAAAAAAUUGGGAGAAUUGGUAGCGAUCCGAUGUCCUAUUUUUUGGUGAACGCCAUUAUUCUAACCUAACCUAACCCUUUUUUUUAUCGUAUGAUUCGGAUCACUGUUGUAGAUCUAUCUUUAACCGUGAUUCGUAUGCGCGGGAUUUUCGAGUCUGUUGACUUCAUAGAUCAGAGUUCAGAGACUUAUCAGUACUCGGUUGUUGUUAUCGGAAACUUCAAGCAUGGGUCUCGUUCGCUAAUUAUUAUUUAUUUGUGGCGGCCAAUUAAAGGUCGUCGUUGUAGGUACCUAUAAUAAUUAAUAUUUAAUAUUUAUUAUUUAGUAGGUUAUAGGUAUUUACUAUCUUGUGGAGACUCGACGAGUAUUUAUAAUGUCAACGAUUUUGCCCUCCGCUAGUAAAACGGUCUUGAUCGGCCGUCCCGAAUACCAAUCGCUCUUGGACGGAGUGCAACUCAUUAGUUUGGGAUUGACGAGAAAAGAAGAAACGGAGGCAGUCGAGUUUAAAAAUUUGGAAAUUGAAAAAAACUAUUUGUUGGGCCUGCACUGUACUACGUGUCAAAUAGCGUUUGAAUUGUCUGAAGAACAUAGAGCACACUAUAAAUCAGACUGGCAUCGGUACAAUUUAAAGCAAAAAAUACGUAACAGACAAACAAUCGACGAGCCAAAGUUUUUUGCUCUAGAAAAUAAAGCUAAUGACAGCUCAUCCAGUUGUGAAAGUGAUGAUGAGAUCAAUGCUUACAAUUCACAUUUUUCAAUUGAUUCAAAAUUAUUUUUUGAGAAUAAUUCUGGCAAUGCUUUUUCUGUUUACAGAUGUUUAUUGACUAAUAAAAAAGAUAUUCCAAGUGAAGAAAUAGUGGUUGAUUCACUGAAGUCUUUCAGCUCUAAACCCGUGUGGUUUAUUGUUAUGUUAGGAGGUGGUCGCUUUUCAGCUGCUAUAUUUAAAGGAGAAGAAGCAAUUGUUCAUAAAACUUUUCAUUCGUAUACGGUACGAGCGAAACAAGGUGGUUCUCAAAGUACGCAAGAUCGAUCAAAGGGUGGAUGUAAAAGUGCUGGUGCAAGUUUACGUAGAUAUAAUGAAGCAUCCCAAUUAAAACAUAUUCAAGAAAUAUUAUCAUCAUGGCUACACCAUAUAAAAUUAUGUGACCUUAUAUUUUAUCGGGCAAUUGGUCCAAAUAAUCGAAAUAUUCUAUUUGGUGGUUCAAAUCCAUUAAUAGAUAAAAAUGACAGUAGACUGUGUCAAAUACCAUUUGGAACCAAAAAGGCAACUUUUGCAGAAGUCCAAAAAGUUUGUAACCAACUAUCAACUGUUUUAGUAUAUGAUUCAAAAGAAAUCAUUAAUAAUUCUAUUAAAAAUUAUAUAUUUAAGUUAUUUAAGAAAAGAAAAAAUACAAAAUCUAGAACAAAAAAAAUUGUAGAGAAACCUAUUAAAGACAUUCAAAAUUCAAAUGAAAAAAAUUCAGAAAAUAUUCAACUAUCUUCAAUGUCAGAUUCUAGUGAAAAUGAUAAUGAAAAUGAAAUUGUAGAAUUUCCACAAAGUAAAAUAUUAUGUGAGAAUAAUGACAGUGUAGUUACAAAUGAUUCAAAAAAUAAGAAACGUAAAAAGAGAAAAAAGAAACCCAUAAACACAAUUGUUAAAUGUGCUGAAGUUGAAGAAGUAAAAAAACUUUUAUUGAAAACAAUUGAAGAAAAAAAUUCUGAAGCUUUAAGUAAAUACCUUUUAUUGGAAGAUACGCAUAGUUCUAUUACUAAAGAACAUUUAGAAAAGAGUUUAAACGAAACUAUUGAUGAAUCAAAUAACACUUUACUUCAUUUAGCCUCUACUUACUGUCUGCACGAUCAUAUAUAUUUACUUUUACAACAUGGAUCAAAUCCAAUUAAUAAAAAUAAAGACGCCAAAACACCAUAUGAAUUAGCACCAGAUAAGUCAACUAGAAAAGUGUUUAGGAAAUUUAUGGCGGUUUUUCCUGAUAAAUAUGAUUAUGAUAAAUCACGGUUACCAGGACCAUUAACAGAAGAGUUACAAGAAGAAUUAAAAGAAAGAAAAAAAGCUAAACAGAAACGAGCCAAAGAAAGAAAAGUAGUCGAGGAAUUAAAAAAAGAAGAAGAAAUUGAAAAGCAGAAAUUUCUUCAAUUAUCAGAUCGAGAAAAAUGUGCGAUAGCAGCAGAAAAACGAUUUAUGGCAGUUCAAGGGACAUUUAAAUUGUUGCGAUGUUUCUAUUGUGGCAAAAAUAUAGAAGAAAAGUAUCCUUUUGAAUACAUGGAUUAUAAAUUUUGCAGUGUACAAUGUGUCAAAAAUCAUAGACAAAAAAAUAUUGAUUACUCAGAAGUCAGAACCCAUAAAUGUAAAAUAAAUAUGUUGCAAGCCCAACUGAUUUUCCAAAACAAAAUCUCUAAGGAGUAGUUUUCUACUACUAUUUCGCACAAGACUGAAAUUGCAUUCGAGCACGAGCCACACAUGCUAUUUUUUGUCACGGCUCUGCGUUCAUCGAUUAUGGGCAAAGGAUUGCGGUAUAGAUUUCAGUGUCUGGUUGUGCAGGGGAUAUGUGCGCCCAGCACUUUUGGGAUUUCCACUUUACCACUCACUGGACAAAAAAAGCCAAAAGGACACUUUACAUAGCUUUGACAUUCAAUCCGAUAGACAUAUUAAUAUAUUGUCUGUGUUCGAUCCAGUGCCGGAUAAACCGCCGGUGCAAGUGGUGCAUUGCACGGGGCCCCAGUAUUAUGGAUAUCGAGUACCUACUAUAAAACAAAAUUGAUACUUGGUAAAAUGUAUAUUUUGUUUUUUCAAAUGGUGUAUUUAAUUAGUUUUACUUUGAAAGUAUAUUUAACUAUUCCCAUCGGUGGUGAAUUAUAACUGUGAAUGUUUGAUUGA